rnacentral:rRNA from 1 species
CCUACGGGUGGCAGCAGUGGGGAAUAUUGGGCAAUGGACGCAAGCCUGACCCAGCAACGCCGCGUGAAGGAAGAAGGCUUUCGGGUUGUUAACUUCUUUUAUCAGGGACGAAGCAAGUGACGGUACCUGAUGAAUAAGCCACGGCUAACUACGUGCCAGCAGCCGCGGUAAUACGGAGGUGGCAAGCGUGAUCCGGAUUUACUGGGUGUAAAGGGGGGGUAGGCGGGAGUGCAAGUCAGAUGUGAAAACUAUGGGCUCAACCCAUAGCCUGCAUUUGAUACUGUACUUCUUGAGUGCUGGAGAGGCAAUCGGAAUGCCGUGUGUAGCGGUGAAAUGCGUAGAUAUAAGAAGGAACACCAGUGGCGAAGGCAGAUUGCUAAACAGUAACUGACGCUGAGGCGCGAAAGCGUGGGGAGCAAACAGGAUUAGAUACCCUGGUAGUC